AUCUGUCCUAACUCACCGGGAAAGUCCAUGUCGGUGUCCGCAUUGCUCGCACCAUCCGCCCGCCUCGGCCGGUUAAUUGGAAACGAGGCUCUUUUGAGGAUCCGCGACACUUAUCCGUCGGCCAAUUUACAGAGAACUUUCAACGACCCCGUCUGCUGCUGUCGCCGCCAGACUAUAACACUCGGUCGGUGAAGCAAGGAAAUGUCUGGCCAACGAGAAGAAACAGUCUACGUACGUCCGCGCGAGUCCCAGAGUACGAAAACAAGAUGGUCGUGGAUGAAAAUGUUCCUCUUCAUCAAAGCUAUCGGUUGGAAUCUGAAGCGCAGAGAACACUUGUUCUGCUUCUUCAUCCUCGUCAGUAACUACAGGGGGAGAUUUUGAAAGGUUUGAUACCAGUUGUCAAGUCUCUCUUGUUGCAAUCGACCAUGAACCUUUCUUUUGUUUUGCUUUCAUUCCUGCCUGUAAUGUUGAUGGUUUUCCAUGUUGAUGAGAUGUUCUUUCCUUUGUUCUCCUUUUUGACGGCAGCAAUUUGUCUCUGAAGGAAGUCUUAGUUAGUGUCAACAUAUGCUUUGUCUAGGUUUUCCUUAGCGGAUUGAAGUUUCUCCCUUGUUCGUUGGGUGUUGAUUACAGGUGUUGUUCUCUUCAGAAGCCCUCUGUAAAUCACCUCUUUCAUCUGAAGCCCUCUGAUCCUCACUUGCAAGAAGCUUUCCGUCUCUGAAACAUAGAAAUGCUUACAUUUAUUUACCUUGGCGACGACAUCCCUUCUUACAACUCUCUUGCACAAGCGCGGCUCAGUGAAGAGAAGUAUGCGCAAGGAUCCCAGUGUACGAAAAAUUGUCACCGUUCCACGACAGUCCGAAUACGACAUGAUCUACUUCGCACAUGCCAAUUUCCGCCACUGGCUGGCGCUGAUACAUAGAUAUGUAGUCCUUUGCUUGUAUUUAUUCGAUAAAAUACGCUCUUCUUAAAACAAUAUAAUGUUACUGCAAUUUGUUCGAUAUUUUUCGAUCCACCAGCUGAAGUUGAUCCUGUAUGUUGAGUGUUCCGAAUCAUCCUUGGCAUCCAUAUGCAAUGCACAAAUUGGAUUAGCUGUGCUUCCUAGAAGUUUGUCAAAUGUCACACGUUUUCUUUUCUCAAGUUCUCAUACAACACACAAACUGUGACCAGAAUUCUUCCCAUCUCCCGGCUGACUAUUGGCAAACUAUGGCCGAGAUUCAAUUCCUGUGUACACAUAAUGAGAGCUCUAUUGAACGUCGAUGGACCCGGGCACCAAAUAACAAACAAAACACUAUUUGAUAACCCGGGCCCAAGCAUUUAUCUCCAACCCGCGGCAAACAUGGCAAUGAUUGACUCGCAUCCUUCGAAUGACCAAUCCAAAGCAGCAAUAUGCCCCAAAAUAACAAUAAAAACGGACUUUUAAUUAUUACUACAUGCAUUUCUGCUUUAUAUGUUGUAUAUCAACUAUGAAUGCAUCAACUGGAGUUCAACAAAUGUCCAUUCAAAGUCAUUAAUGCUCCUACAAUAUUAAAUAUACUUGGAAGAGUAGGUAGUAGGUCGCUUUUUGUAAAUUGCAUUGCUUCUUUGCAUGUCUGCUGAGAUUAUUCUGUCAGUCAAGUUUACACAACAUGCAAUAAAGUCUAAUGGCUAAG